rnacentral:rRNA from 1 species
CGAACGGGUGAGUAAUACAUCGGAACGUGUCCGCUCGUGGGGGACGACCAGCCGAAAGGUUGGCUAAUACCGCAUGAGUUCUACGGAAGAAAGAGGGGGACCCGCAAGGGCCUCUCGCGAGCGGAGCGGCCGAUGACUGAUUAGCCUGUUGGUGAGGUAACGGCUCACCAAAGCAACGAUCAGUAGCUGGUCUGAGAGGACGACCAGCCACACUGGGACUGAGACACGGCCCAGACUCCUACGGAAGGCAGCAG